rnacentral:rRNA from 1 species
UACGUAGGGUGCGAGCGUUUGUCCGGAAUUACUGGGCGUAAAGAGCUCGUAGGUGGUUUGUCGCGUUGUUCGUGAAAACCGGGGGCUUAACCCUCGGCGUGCGGGCGAUACGGGCAGACUUGAGUACUGCAGGGGAGACUGGAAUUCCUGGUGUAGCGGUGGAAUGCGCAGAUAUCAGGAGGAACACCGGUGGCGAAGGCGGGUCUCUGGGCAGUAACUGACGCUGAGGAGCGAAAGCGUGGGGAGCGAACAGG